UAGGGAAUCUUCGGCAAUGGGGGGAACCCUGACCGAGCAACGCCGCGUGAGUGAAGAAGGUUUUCGGAUCGUAAAGCUCUGUUGUUAAGGAAGAACGAGUGUGAGAAUGGAAAGUUCAUACUGUGACGGUACUUAACCAGAAAGGGCCGGCUAACUACGUGCCAGCAGCCGCGGUAAUACGUAGGUCCCGAGCGUUGUCCGGAUUUAUUGGGCGUAAAGCGAGCGCAGGCGGUUAGAUAAGUCUGAAGUUAAAGGCAGUGGCUCAACCAUUGUAGGCUUUGGAAACUGUUUAACUUGAGUGCAGAAGGGGAGGGAGGAAUUCCAUGUGUAGCGGUGAAAUGCGUAGAUAUAUGGAGGAACACCGGUGGCGAAAGCGGCUCUCUGGUCUGUAACUGACGCUGAGGCUCGAAAGCGUGGGGAGCGAACAGG
rnacentral:rRNA from 1 species